rnacentral:lncRNA from 1 species
UCACUAAACUCGCUGGGAGAACUCCCCAUGCUCUUAUUGCUCGUUUCGAUGCCACCUAUAUAAACUUCGGGUUGACAAUGACCAGAUCCACCGUUGGUCGCCACAGACUCGGCGUCUAUCUAGGAGUAAGCGCUAAAGCAUUUGAACGGUAAGAGGUUGCUAUGGGAUGUCUUUUAGUAGUGAUUAGUGUACCAUUGUUUGGAUUCUAACAGUGCAUAUUUCAUCAUUAGUUGAGUUUUCGACCCAAUUGCUUUGUUUUUGGUCGCAGGUUUGUUUCAACUUGCAUCACCGCCACUUGGUAGCUACUAAUGAAGAGGUCUAGAAGAUUGCCUAAAGCAUCA